rnacentral:rRNA from 1 species
GACGAACGCUGGCGGCGUGCUUAACACAUGCAAGUCGAGCGGAAGGACGCUGAGCUUGUUGGUGGCAUGAGUGCGGAGGAGGGGAGUAUAACGCGUGGAAAAUGCACUUGUCAUUGUGGGAUAAUCUGGGGAAAGGGGCGCUUAUCGCGGAGAAUAUUCUGCAGCAUGUGGUGGAAUGGAGAAAGACGGUGGUGGUGUAUGUAAUAGAGGGAUCCGCGCUGCAUUAGCUAGUUGGUGAGGUAACGGCCUAUCAAGGCAACGAGGCAUAAGCGAGGUGAGGGGGGGAUCGCCCACACGGGAGCUGAGACAGCGUCCAGACGCCUACGGGAGGCAGCAGUAGCGUACCUUACGCAAUGGGCGAAAGCCUGACGGAGCAACGCCGAGUGAGUGAUAGCGGCCUUCGGUGCGUAAAACUCUGUUAUGAGGGAAGAACAUCUGUGUCAGUAACUGUGCACAGCUUGACGGUACCUAAUCAGAAAGCAACGGCUAACUACGUG